UUCAUUUACAUAACAAAAGUUAGAGAUACUAGAGAGAGAAAGUGAGAAGAUAAAGAGAAGGAAGAGGAAAUACUUGGAGAAGAGGAAAGCUAGAGCUAAGGAGUUAGAGAGGAGAGUGAAGUCAUAACUAGUGAAUUUGAAGCUUUGAGGUGAUUUGCGGGAUUGAGUUGAUUGCUUUUCUUUGAUGCUUGAGGACUAACUUGGAUGCUUCCUCGUUUUAUUUUUUUUCGUUUAGAGUCUAGAUAAGCUCUGAUGUAGGAGUGCCGGUCUUAUGACCUUGUCUUUUGAUACAUUUUGAUGAGUUAUGUUAACUAUAUUACGAGGAUAAUUGUAUCAUGGUGAUGAAUUUUAUGUGGAAGGACAUAUGGCAUGUUGAGAUUUAUUACCAUUGAUUUUGAGGAUUA